GAUGAACGCUGGCGGCGUGCCUAAUACAUGCAAGUCGAGCGAACAGACGAGGAGCUUGCUCCUCUGACGUUAGCGGCGGACGGGUGAGUAACACGUGGAUAACCUACCUAUAAGACUGGGAUAACUUCGGGAAACCGGAGCUAAUACCGGAUAAUAUAUUGAACCGCAUGGUUCAAUAGUGAAAGACGGUUUUGCUGUCACUUAUAGAUGGAUCCGCGCCGCAUUAGCUAGUUGGUAAGGUAACGGCUUACCAAGGCAACGAUGCGUAGCCGACCUGAGAGGGUGAUCGGCCACACUAGAACUGAGACACGGUCCAGACUCCUACGGGAGGCAGCAGUAGGGAAUCUUCCGCAAUGGGCGAAAGCCUGACGGAGCAACGCCGCGUGAGUGAUGAAGGUCUUCGGAUCGUAAAACUCUGUUAUUAGGGAAGAACAAAUGUGUAAGUAACUAUGCACGUCUUGAUGGUACCUAAUCAGAAAGCCACGGCUAACUACGUG
rnacentral:rRNA from 1 species